GCCGGGCGUGGUGGCACGUGCCUGUAAUCCCAGCUACUCAGGAGGCUGAGGCAGGAGAAUCGCUUGAACCCGGGAGGUGGAGGUUGCAGUGAGCAGAGAUCAUGCCACUGCAUUCCAGCCUGAGUGACAGAGUGAGACUCUGUCUCAA
rnacentral:SRP_RNA from 1 species